UUCUUGGUUGAUCCUACCAGUGAUAUACGCUCGUCUCAAAGGUUAAGCCAUGCAUGUCUAAGUACAAGCUUCCUAGAAAGUGAAACCGCAUAAGGCUCAGUAUAACAGCUAUAAUUUACAAGAUCCUCAUCCAAACAGUUACUUGGAUAACUGUGGAAAAGCCAGAGCUAAUACAUGCAUUAUGCCGGGACUGUUGGCCUCCGGGUCGGCGGAACUGGUGCACUUAUUAGUUAAACCAAUCGCCUCCGGGCGCUUUGAGUUGAAAUCUGGAUAAGGAUGCCGAUCGUACGGUCG
rfam:Anopheles gambiae str. PEST whole genome shotgun sequencing project, whole genome shotgun sequence.